rnacentral:rRNA from 1 species
AGCGAACGCUGGCGGCAGGCUUAACACAUGCAAGUCGAGCGCUCGUAGCAAUACGGGAGCGGCAGACGGGUGAGUAACACGUGGGAACGUGCCUUUUGGUUCGGAACAACUGAGGGAAACUUCAGCUAAUACCGGAUAAGCCCUUACGGGGAAAGAUUUAUCGCCAAAAGAUCGGCCCGCGUCUGAUUAGCUAGUUGGUGGGGUAAUGGCCCACCAAGGCUACGAUCAGUAGCUGGCUGAGAGGAUGAUCAGCCACACUGGGACUGAGACACGGCCCAGACCUCCGUACGGGA